AGAAAUAAAUAUAUUUAAGCUUCUAACUUAAAUUCUAGCAUUUUUAUGUUAAUAUUUC
rnacentral:tRNA from 1 species